rnacentral:rRNA from 1 species
UACAGAGGGUGCAAGCGUUGUUCGGAAUUACUGGGCGUAAAGCGCACGUAGGCGGCUUUGUAAGUUAGAGGUGAAAGCCCGGGGCUCAACUCCGGAAUUGCCUUUAAGACUGCAUCGCUAGAACGUCGGAGAGGUAAGUGGAAUUCCGAGUGUAGAGGUGAAAUUCGUAGAUAUUCGGCGGAACACCAGUGGCGAAGGCGACUCACUGGCCCGAUACUGACGCUGAGGCGCGAAAGCGUGGGGGAGCAAACAGG